UUAGACAGUAAGUACAUCAUGUGGCUAUCAUGCGACUAUCAUUUGACUUAUUGUGUAGAAAGAGAUUACUAAAGAAGAAUUGAAGGUCACCUGGUAGAGUGUAUCUUGAUCAUCAAUUGAUUGAGAGAUAUUCAUAUAUAUACUGGUAGUGAAAUGUAUAUGGAAAUAUUGAAAGAACCUGAAAAGAUGAAGCUCCCAACACAGAUGCAUGCAGGUGUAUGUUAGAAGAUGGUGUCCAUCACAAUUUUUAGUUGAUCCAACAGAAGAAAGUUAAGUGGAGUUCCUGUUGAUGCCAUUUCUGUUGCAACAGUUAGCAAUUGACAUUUCACUAUCAGCCAGUUAUUUUUCCUUUAAAAGUAGAGUACAUUAUCAAUGAUC